rnacentral:rRNA from 1 species
AGAGGGGGCGAGCGUUGUUCGGAAUUACUGGGCGUAAAGGGCGCGUAGGCGGCCCGCUAAGUCGAACGUGAAAUCCCCAGGCUCAACCUGGGAACUGCGUCCGAUACUGGCAGGCUUGAAUCCGGGAGAGGGAUGUGGAAUUCCAGGUGUAGCGGUGAAAUGCGUAGAUAUCUGGAGGAACACCGGUGGCGAAGGCGGCAUCCUGGACCGGUAUUGACGCUGAGGCGCGAAAGCUAGGGGAGCAAACGGGAUUAGAUACCCCGGUAGUCCUAGCCCUAAACGAUGAAUGCUUGGUGUGGCGGGUAUCGAUCCCUGCCGUGCCGAAGCUAACGCAUUAAGCAUUCCGCCUGGGGAGUACGGUCGCAAGGCUG